rnacentral:rRNA from 1 species
AUACGGAGGGUGCAAGCGUUACUCGGAAUCACUGGGCGUAAAGCGCGCGCAGGCGGGCUGAUAAGUUGGAUGUGAAAGCCUACGGCUCAACCGUAGAACUGCAUCCAAAACUGUCAGUCUAGAGUGUGGGAGAGGAAGAUGGAAUUAGUUGUGUAGGAGUAAAAUCCGUAGAGAUAACUAGGAAUACCAAAAGCGAAGGCAAUCUUCUGGAACACUACUGACGCUGAGGCGCGAAGGCGUGGGGAGCAAACAGGAUUAGAAACCCUGGUAGUCC